rnacentral:rRNA from 1 species
GGACCCGCACAAGCGGUGGAGCAUGUGGUUUAAUUCGAAGCAACGCGAAGAACCUUACCAAAUCUUGACAUCCUUUGAAAACUCUAGAGAUAGAGCCUUCCCCUUCGGGGGACAAAGUGACAGGUGGUGCAUGGUUGUCGUCAGCUCGUGUCGUGAGAUGUUGGGUUAAGUCCCGCAACGAGCGCAACCCUUAAACUUAGUUGCCAGCAUUUAGUUGGGCACUCUAGGUUGACUGCCGGUGAUAAACUGGAGGAAGGUGGGG